rnacentral:rRNA from 1 species
CAGCCGCCACGGGAAUACGGAGGGUGCAAGCGUUAAUCGGAAUUACUGGGCGUAAAGCGUGCGUAGGCGGUUCGUUAAGUCUGUUGCGAAAGCCCCGGGCUCAACCUGGGAAUGGCAAUGGAUACCGGCGAGCUAGAGUGUGUCAGAGGAUGGUGGAAUUCCCGGUGUAGCGGUGAAAUGCGUAGAGAUCGGGAGGAACAUCAGUGGCGAAGGCGGCCAUCUGGGACAACACUGACGCUGAGGCACGAAAGCGUGGGGAGCAAACAGGAUUAGAUACCCCUGUAGUCCCUGUCUCUUAUAC